rnacentral:rRNA from 1 species
AUUGAACGCUGGCGGCAUGCUUUACACAUGCAAGUCGAACGGUAACAGGCCGCAAGGUGCUGACGAGUGGCGAACGGGUGAGUAAUGCAUCGGAACGUGCCCAGUCGCGGGGGAUAACUACUCGAAAGAGUAGCUAAUACCGCAUACGAUCUAUGGAUGAAAGCGGGGGACCGUAAGGCCUCGCGCGAUUGGAGCGGCCGAUGUCAGAUUAGGUAGUUGGUGGGGUAAAGGCUCACCAAGCCAACGAUCUGUAGCUGGUCUGAGAGGACGACCAGCCACACUGGGACUGAGACACGGCCCAGACUCCUACGGGAGGCAGCAGUGGGGAAUGUUGGACAAUGGGCGCAAGCCUGAUCCAGCAAUGCCGCGUGCAGGAAGAAGGCCUUCGGGUUGUAAACUGCUUUUGUACGGAACGAAACGGCUCUGGUUAAUACCCGGGGCUAAUGACGGUACCGUAAGAAUAAGCACCGGCUAACUACGUG